rnacentral:rRNA from 1 species
AGCAGCCGCGGUAAUUCCAGCUCCAAUAGCGUAUAUUAAAGUUGUUGCAGUUAAAAAGCUCGUAGUUGAAUUUCGGGAUCAAUUUAUCGGUCGUGCCAAUGGUAUGAACUGGUACAAUUGGUUUCUUCCUUCUGAUAAAGCGUGAUGCCAUUAACUUGGUGUCGCCGGGGAAUCAGAACUGUUACUUUGAAAAAUUAGAGUGUUUAAAGCAGGCUUAGGCUUGAAUACAUUAGCAUGGAAUAAUGAAAUAGGACGUUUGAUCCUAUUUUGUUGGUUUCUAGGAUCGACGUAAUGAUUAAUAGGGAUAGUUGGGGGCAUUAGUAUUCAAUUGUCAGAGUGAAAUUCUUGGAUUUAUUGAAGACUAACUACUG